CACUCAAGACCCACGGACAACAGAGACUCUGAGAAUGAACUCUUCUCCAGGAUUAGUGAUUGUGUUAUUCUUAAUGUUUGGAGGAAGCAAUGAAGACUCAGUGACCCAGACUGAAGGCCAAGUGACCCCCUCAGAAGGGGAUUCCCUGAUUGUCAACUGCUCCUAUGAAACUACACAGUACCCUGCCCUUUUCUGGUAUGUCCAGUACCCUGGAGAAGGUCCACAGCUCCUCCUGAAAGCCUCGAGGGACAACGAGACGGGAAGCAACAAAGGUUUUAAAGCCACGUACCACAGAAAACCAAAUUCCUUCCACUUGGAGAAAGCCUCAGUCCAAGGGGCAGACUCGGCCGUGUACUACUGUGCUCUGAGUGACACAGUGACAGGAGCUGCAGGGGGAGCUGAGCACAAACUCUGAGCAGCAAUUGGUACUUGGGUGC